rnacentral:lncRNA from 1 species
AGAAAUUUUUUGCUGGUGAAUGGUUUGAGUAAAUAAAUGGAAAGGAAAGGAGGAUGAAUCAUGUUCCAGCAAAGCAGUGCCUAAAGUAAUUUCCUUCCAUUGUGAGGCACACGAAUAGAAAAGUCACGCUACAGUAAUUUUAUGUUUUUGCACUUGAUGUAGAAUUUGAAUAGCAACAAAGAAAGAAAGAAGGAAGGAAGGAAAGAAAAAAGGUUAUGGUGAGGCAAUGACUAUUUGAAAUGUCUCACGGGGUUGGGUUUUCUCCCA